UACGUAGGGUCCGAGCGUUGUCCGGAUUUAUUGGGCGUAAAGAGCUCGUAGGCGGUUCCGUAAGUCGGAUGUGAAAAACUCGGGGCUCAACCCCCGAGACGCCAUCCGAUACUGCGGUGACUUGAGUCUGGUAGGGGAACACGGAAUUCCUGGUGUAGCGGUGAAAAUGCGCAGAUAUCAGGAGGAACACCGAUGGCGAAGGCAGUGUUCUGGGCCAGUACUGACGUGAGGAGCGAAAGCGUGGGGGAGCAAAACAGG
rnacentral:rRNA from 1 species